rnacentral:tRNA from 1 species
GCCGCCUUCGUCUAGCGGAACAGGACCCCGGUCCUUCAAACCGGUCGACGCGGGUUCGAAUCCCGCAGGCGGCGCCA